rnacentral:rRNA from 1 species
AGAAUGAACGCUAGCGGUAGGCCUGACACAUGCAAGUCGAACGGGGCUGAGCUUCGGCAUCAGCAAAGUGGCGAACGGGUGAGUAAUGCGUGAGAAUCUACCUCCCACCACGGUGGAAGGGGUGUAUUGCCCCGAAUCCCGUAUAUACUUAUCUUCGAUAAGUACAAGAAAGGCCUAUAGCCGGUGGCAGAUGAGCUCUCGUAGGAUUAGGUAGUUGGUGAGGUAAAGGCUCUACCAAGCCAAAGAUCCUUAGCCGGUCUGAGAGGAUGAUCGGCCACACUGGGACUGAGACACGGCCCAGACGCUUUCGAGCGGCAGCAGUGAGGAAUCUUGGACAAUGGGCGAAAGCCUGAUCCAGCCAUACCGCGUGGGGGACGAAGGCUAAAUGGGUUGUAAACCCCUGACCUCAACUUAGAUUGUGACAUGGGUUGAGACAAAAGUCCCGGCUAACUCCGUGCCAGCAGCCGCGGUAA